AUACGGAGGGUGCAAGCGUUAAUCGGAAUUACUGGGCGUAAAGCGUACGUAGGCGGUUGGUUAAGUUAGAUGUGAAAGCCCCGGGCUUAACCUGGGAACUGCAUUUAAAACUGGCGAACUAGAGUUGAGUAGAGGGGAGUGGAAUUUCAGGUGUAGCGGUGAAAUGCGUAGAGAUCUGAAGGAACACCAGUGGCGAAGGCGACUCCCUGGACUCGAACUGACGCUGAGGUACGAAAGCGUGGGUAGCAAACGGGAUUAGAAACCCUUGUAGUCC
rnacentral:rRNA from 1 species